rnacentral:lncRNA from 1 species
UGUCAAAAGUAGUGCCUUAAGUAGCCAAUAGGGUGUCCUUUUGGGAUCCAUGCCAUAUAUUUUACACAUGCUCAGUUGUCCUGAUGUGUUUUGUCAACAGCUGUUCAAGACAAAGGGGGAACCGAAGAGCCACCCUGAACAGGAUUCUCUGCCUACCAAACGUCUCAGAGAGACUCGUAUUUCACAGGAUGCUGAGUGUGAGGUUCCAUCCACUUCCCCACCCAAAGAGGACCUGACAACCACACUGGCCCCUGCUCCCCAGGAGUCCCAGUCCCGUAAACGCCCUCUCAUAGUCAGGGUGUUACGAGCUAUCUCCAGAGCCGUCUCCAAACCAUUCAGAGAAGCUUUUGGAAGAAGAAUUAGCCAAAUGCCAGAUUUUAUUACUAUUUUAAUCAGAGCCUUUAUUUAAUAAAACUUACUGCAUGGAUUUCUGUCUAUAGUCGUCUUACUGUUUGUGCAAGAUAAUGGUACCACAUUGUCAAACAUAGUUAUAGUGAAGCACUGUUUAUGAUUAUUGAUUGUGGAAAUCACAUUUUAAUACAGAAAAGAUGUCGUCACAUAAAGACAGACAUAUAGGAGAAAACUCCGUCGACUAUUCACAUGAUCAAGACACAACUAAAGCCAUGAAUGGAUCAUAUUAUUAUACCUUGAUUUCAACAAGGAACACAGACUGAGACCAAGGUGUCUUUUACAGCUGGGCCCUGCGUAGACAUGUUACACAUUCAGUUUAGCUACAAUGAUUAAGAAACUACACAAGACAAACAAGACCAUCACAGAUAACACACAAAUACAGCAGCAGAUUAUUACGUUUGCACACAGGUUAUUCCCCUAACAGCACAAUAACUUGCAUUACCCGAAAGUUACAAGCAAUACAGAAAUAAAAAUCCUCCAAUAAUUAUUUAAAAUGGGCAACAGGGGGACAAGAGUCUCAAAUUAAGUUUAGUCUGCAGGCUUUUCCAUUGGCAAGGAGCGUAACAGGAAAAGGCAGCCAUACCCAACUCUGUGGAAAUCGCAUGGACCUCAAGUGUAAUCCAUGCUUGAGACCUGGUUUUAGGAAUUCUAAUUCUAAUAUUGAUGAGUGAUGAUAAAUAAGAUGGUAGUUUAUUCAGAAGUGCUUCAUAGACAAACACGAGAACAUAUCUCGUC